UACGAGGGGGGCGAGCGUUGUUCGGAAUUAUUGGGCGUAAAGGGCGCGUAGGCGGCCCGCUAAGUCGAACGUGAAAUCCCCAGGCUCAACCUGGGAACUGCGUCCGAUACUGGCAGGCUUGAAUCCGGGAGAGGGAUGUGGAAUUCCAGGUGUAGCGGUGAAAUGCGUAGAUAUCUGGAAGAACACCAGUGGCGAAGGCGGUCAACUGGCCCGUAACUGACGCUCAGGCACGAAAGCGUGGGUAGCGAACAGG
rnacentral:rRNA from 1 species